CCGUGAUUCCGCGGUAGUAACUUUUAAUUAGGUUAAAAAAAAAGACCGUGAACAGUUUCUUCUUCCUCGCGAAGAAACUGUUGCAACUCUCUAUACGCUCUCCUCUCCGCCGUGCAUUGUCUAUGUACUCUGUGCAUUGUCUCUGCCGUGCCAUUCCUCUGAAUAUUCUCAUCAUUUAUUGCUAUUCUCUUCAGCGUGCCACCAUUCUGUCGGAACUCUCCCCGUGCCAUUCUUUCUCUGCUCUUCACCGUGCCAUCAUUUGUGCCAUUUUUGCCC
rnacentral:lncRNA from 1 species